CCCUUAGAUGUCCUGGGCCGCACGCGCGUUACACUGAUGCAUUCAACGAGCUUAUAACCUUGGCCGAGAGGCCUGGGCAAUCUUGUUAACGUGCAUCGUGAUAGGGAUAGAUUAUUGAAAUUAUUAAUCUUGAACGAGGAAUUCCUAGUAAACGCAGAUCAUCGAUCUGCAUUGAUUACGUCCCUGCCCCUUGUACACACCGCCCGUCGCACCUACCGAUUGGAUGGUCCGGUGAAGCCUCGGGAUUGUGGUUCUUGCCGCUUUAUUGUGGCGUGACCGCGAGAACUUGUCUAAACCUUAUCAUCUAGAGGAAGGUGAAGUCGUAACA
rnacentral:rRNA from 1 species